AGCACAUUCACUUUAUUGAAUAAUCAUUGUGUUUGCUUUAGUAAGUGCACAAGUUUCCAAUGUAUUUUUAUAUUCUAUAGUAUGUAUAUAUAUCAAGUAUCUAGAGAACAGUUUUUACAGUUUUUUGGCCUGUCGAAGAGUUAGAUUGAAUGGACAACAAGGCAAAACAUCAAACUUAUCCCCUAUCGUGUCACCUUCAAAAAGACUGUAAAAUAAAAUUAAGUAGAGAGAGACACUGAGGCAUUGGGGGAAAAGACAGAUAAAACAUA